AAGUCGGGAUAUUUUCGUCACUCUGCUCACUUUGUACUUUCUGAAGCGUCUUUUCCCUUCGCACUCUCCUCGAUACGCGCCUUUUUCAUGGACGUGGAAGACAAACCGGCUCUUGCUUCUGCUGCUGUCAGUUGUUUCUCCAGAUGUGUAACACCUGCUUUUGGAUGGAUAUCCGAUUAGGGGUGACCGCCAAUAAUAUCUGCAACAGCUUCUGUUCUGCUUGGGUUUUCUUUUCGUUUUUCCGCUUCUUGGCUUACUACUCUCUUCCUUUUGGUCUCUCUGCUUGCUGGCUGGAACAAAAUUGUUGACGUUUCUCUUACGUUCAAUACAACCAACAUACUUGUAGAAGAAGUUCAGCACUGUAAAGGAACAACCAUUACCUCUUGAACAUGUUCGACAGUGUCUUCCUCAUAAACUCUUCAAGAUACAACUGAGAAAAACAUUUUCUAGAACUUCUGAUACGCGGUUGUUCAUUGUGUCCUACUCUGUGAAGGAAGAUUUGUUUCAAUUGCCCGCACCAGUAGCCUUUGAAGAAAUUGGAGAGAGCAGUAACACUAAA